rnacentral:lncRNA from 1 species
UUGAUCUGAAGGGCACAACAAGAUGGUCAUAUGAUGAAUGAUAAUUCUAAUACCCAAUAGACACCAGGCAUGUGGCACCUCCAAUGCCUACUUAGAAUAUUAGACACAUUAUCUUGCACCUUAAUGGGAGCCUAUGAAUUAGUUAUCUCUAUAACUGUAUCAUUUUAAGGACCUAAUAAUUUAGAAGAUUUGAUUUAAUGAUUUGAGAAUA